rnacentral:rRNA from 1 species
ACAUGAGGAUAUCUUAAUUGAACCUAACUGGAAAGUUAGACCAUAGAAGGUAAUAGUCCUGUAAGUGAAAAGAGAAACUCAUAGUUCUGCUCCAGAGUACCACGAGACACGUGAAACCUUGUGGGAAGCAGGGAGGACCACCUCCCAAGGCUAAAUACUACCUGAUGACCGAUAGUGAAGCAGUACCGUGAGGGAAAGGUGAAAAGAACCCCGGGAGGGGAGUGAAAUAGAACCUGAAACCGUGUGCCUACAACCGGUCAAAGCCCCUUAUGAGGGUGAUGACGUGCUUUUUGUAGAACGAGCCAACGAGUUACGGUAUGUAGCAAGGUUAAGUACUUAAGGUACGGAGCCGAAGGGAAACCGAGUCUUAAUAGGGCGACUAGUUGCAUGCCGUAGACCCGAAACCGGGUGACCUAUCCAUGGCCAGGUUGAAGCGAGGGUAAAACUUCGUGGAGGACCGAACCACGUUGCUGUUGAAAAAGCAUGGGAUGAGCUGUGGAUAGCGGAGAAAUUCCAAUCGAACUCGGAGAUAGCUGGUUCUCCCCGAAAUAGCUUUAGGGCUAGCGUCGGAUAUGUGUAGUGGAGGUAGAGCACUGAAUGGGCUAGGGGGCAUAUCGCUUACCGAACCUUAUCAAACUCCGAAUGCCAUAUACAUUAAGUCCGGCAGUCAGACUACGAAUGAUAAGAUCCGUGGUCAAAAGGGAAACAGCCCAGACCGUCAGCUAAGGUCCCAAAGUGUAAGUUAAGUGGAAAAGGAUGUGGGAUUUCUAAGACAACUAGGAUGUUGGCUUAGAAGCAGCCACUCAUUUAAAGAGUGCGUAAUAGCUCACUAGUCGAGAGAUCCUGCGCCGAAGAUGUCCGGGGCUAAAACUUACCACCGAAGCUACGGGAUUGCAAUAGCAAUCGGUAGAGGAGCGUCGUAAUCGGGCUGAAGUCGUACCGUAAGGAGCGGUGGACUGAUUACGAGUGAGAAUGUUGGCAUUAGUAGCGAGAUGUAGGUGAGAAUCCUACAGGCCGAAUAUCUAAGGUUUCCUCAGGAAGGUUCGUCCUCUGAGGGUUAGUCGGGACCUAAGCCGAGGCCGAAAGGCGUAGGCGAUGGACAAUCGGUUGAUAUUCCGAUACCACUACCAUCGUUAUUAUCGAGGGUGUGACGGAGAAGGAUAGUGUGUGCUAGCGAUUGGAAAUGCUAGUCUAAGCGUUUAGGGAGUUACGGUAGGCAAAUCCGCUGUAACAAUUCUGAGGCGUGAUGGGGAAGGUCAUUAAGACCGAAGUACAUGAUUCCAUGCUUCCAAGAAAAGCAUCUAGAGAGAGAAGUAGUGCCCGUACCGCAAACCGACACAGGUAGAUGAGGAGAGAAUCCUAAGGCCGGCGGAAGAAUUGCAGUUAAGGAACUAGGCAAAUUGACCCCGUAAGUUCGCGAGAAGGGGUGCCUGCGAGAGCAGGCCGCAGAGAAUAGGCCCAAGCAACUGUUUAGCAAAAACACAGGUCUCUGCUAAAGCGAAAGCUGAUGUAUAGGGGCUGACGCCUGCCCGGUGCUGGAAGGUUAAGGGGAACACUUAGCGCAAGCGAAGGUGUGAACUUAAGCCCCAGUAAACGGCGGCCGUAACUAUAACGGUCCUAAGGUAGCGAAAUUCCUUGUCAGGUAAGUUCUGACCC